rnacentral:rRNA from 1 species
AUGUCGCGAGGACAAGGAAGAUCGAUGGGAAGCAUGCUCUCGUUUCUCCUUGUAGCCAUCCUGCUCCACCUCGCCGGCGGCAGCCCUCCUCCGGAGCCGGUGGUCUGCACGGACGGCACGUCCAACUGCACGGUCACCAACUCGGUCGGUUCCUUUCCGGACCGCGUCGUCUGCCGCGCGCGCAGCGUCACCUACCCGCGCACCGAGCAGGAGCUCGUCGGGGCCGUGGCGGCCGCGGUGUCCGCGAAGCGCAAGAUGAAGGUGGCCACGAGGUACUCGCACAGCAUCCCCAAGCUGAUGUGCCCCGGCGGCCUCGACGGCGCCAUCAUAAGCACGGAGCGGCUCAACCGGACGGUGCGCAUCGACGCGAAGAAGGGGCUCAUGACGGUGGAGAGCGGCAUGGUCCUCCGUGACCUGGUCGAGGCGGCCGGCGCCGCGGGGCUGUCGCUCCCGAACUCGCCGUACUGGUACGGCCUGACGAUCGGGGGCCUGCUGUCGACGGGCGCGCACGGGAGCUCGCUGUGGGGCAAGGGCAGCGCCGUGCACGAGUACGUGGUCGGGCUGAGGAUCGUGACGCCGGCGCCGGCCAGCAAGGGGUACGCCGUGGUGAGGGAGCUCGGCGCCGAUCACCCGGACCUGGACGCGGCGAAGGUCAGUCUCGGGGUUCUCGGCGUGGUCUCUCAGGUCACCCUGGCCCUGCAGCCGCUGUUCAAGCGGUCGUUGACGUUCGUGACGCGCGACGACUCGGACUUCGCGGGCCAGGUGGCCGCCUGGGGCCGCCUCCACGAGUUCGGCGACAUGGCGUGGCUGCCGCAGCAGCGCAAGGUCCUCUACCGCGAGGACGACCGCGUCGACGUCUCGUCGCCGGGCGACGGCCUCUGGGACUCGCUCCUUGGCCGCUCCAUUCCCACGCGGCUGCUCGUCAAUGGCAGAGCCGCCGAGGAGCGGCUGCAGGAGGGCAGCACCAACGACACCGCUCUGUGCGCCGCGGGGCGGCUGCAGGCGGACUCGCUGGAGCGGCAGGCCUACGGCUUCAAGAACGACGGCCUCAACUUCACCGGGUACCCGGUGGUGGGGUACCAGCACCGCAUCCAGGCGUCCGGCGCGUGCAUCAACAGCCCGGAGGACGGCCUCAACACCAGCUGCCCCUGGGACCCGCGCGUCCGGGGCUCCUUCUCCCAGAACACCGACUUCAGCAUCGCGCUCUCCAAGGCGCCGGCGUUCGUGGCGGAGAUGCAGCGGCUCCGGGACCUCAGCCCGGACACGUUCUGCGCCGGCAUCGACACCAGGUUCGGCGUGCUCAUCCGCUACGUCAAGGCGUCCUCCGCCUACCUGGGCAAGCCCGAGGACUCCGUCGACUUCGACAUAGUCUCCUACCGGAGCCGCACCGACGGCAUGCCGCGCGCGCACGCCGACGUGGUGGACGAGAUCGAGCAGAUGGCGCUGCACAAGUACGGCGGCCUCCCGCACUGGGGGAAGAACCGCAACUUCGCCUUCGACGGCGCCAUCGCGAAAUACCCGAAAGCUGAUGAAUUCCUCAGGGUGAAGGACAGGUACGACCCCGACGGGCUCUUCUCCAGCGAGUGGAGCGACCAGGUGCUCGGCAUCAAUGGGAGCCCCAACAUCGUCAAGGAGGGCUGCGGCGUGGAAGGGUUGUGUGUUUGCUCUGAAGACUCGCACUGUGCGCCCGAGCAAGGCUACUUUUGCCGUCCAGGAAAGGUGCACGACGAGGCGAGGGUUUGCUCCACAAGUGUUAACCCGUGA